AACAAAUAUCCACAAAAUACUCCACAGAAUGUUGAAUUACGCCGAAAAUGGAAUAUCAAAUGUGGAAAAUCUUUAUUUACCUUGCGAACUUUGAUUAGC